rnacentral:lncRNA from 1 species
UUUUAUGAAAGAGAGAUUUGGGCUUACGAAUCUGUCGAGCCUUUUUGGGUAUGUUGGUCACUUCAGUUUCCCGAAAAUAACACUAUAUGGCCAUGAAAGCGGUGUUUUGGGUGUCGAUUAUUUUUUAGGAAAAUCAUUUUACCAUCUAUUAUAUAGCAUUAUUAUACCUAUAAAGAGAAGGAAAGUUUGAGCUUGGAAGCAUGAAAGAGGAAUAAUUACAUUCCGAUCGCAACAAAAUGACAUUCUUUGUUAUGCUACCGCUCUAGCUUGAUUUCCUCUUUCCAUGUAUGUAUAUAUAUAUUGUUUCCUAUCUUCUGGAGUACAUUACGUUUAGCUAAUGAUUUCAAAUUUCGGGGACGAAAUUUUUUAAGGAGGGUAGAUUGUAACAACUCGUCCCUAAAAAAUUAUGGUUUUUAAUACGUGAAAAGACGGAAAUGCCCUAUGGGCAAAGUGUGAUUUUUCGAGGACGUGUGUGAUUCUCAUAUAUUUUGUCAUGUUUAUUGACAUAUUCGGAUAGAGCUCGAUCUUACGGAUGCGUAGGCACAGGUAGAAGUGAGUUUGGAGUUACGGUUAAAGUUUUAUUGAGUUACGAACCUGAGGGUAUUUGGAAUGAAAUAUUAUUUUAAUUUUUUUUACACUAUGUUUUUAUUAUUAUUAAAACAAAGUGAAAUAUAUGUAUUGGGUGUGUGGGUAUGGCUGGCGGAGAAAGAAGCAGGAAAAGAAAUCAGGGAAAAGGGAAAGAGGGCCACUGCCUAAUUGGAGGAGAGGAAGGAGAUGAGACUAACCAACCAAAGAGGAGAGAAAGGAGGGAAAAGAGGGAAGGGGAGAAG